rnacentral:rRNA from 1 species
GACGAACGCUGGCGGCGUGCUUAACACAUGCAAGUCGAACGGAAAGGCCCUGCUUUUGUGGGGUGCUCGAGUGGCGAAGGGGUGAGUAACACGUGAGUAACCUGCCCUUGACUUUGGGAUAACUUCAGGAAACUGGGGCUAGUCCCGGAUAGGAGCUCCUGCUGCAUGGUGGGGGUUGGAAAGUUUAGGCGGUUGGGGAUGGACUCGCGGCUUAUCAGCUUGUUGGUGGGGUAGUGGAUUACCAAGGGUUUGACUGGUCGGCGGCCUGAGAGGGUGACCGGCCACAUUGGGACUGAGAUACGGACCAGACGCCUACGGGAGGCAGCAGGGGGAAAUAUUGCACAACGGGCGGAAGCCUGAUGCAGUAGCGCCGCGUGCGGGAUGACGGUCUGCGGGUUGUGAACCGCUUUCGCCUAUGACGAAGCGUUAGUGACGGUAAUGAGUAAAGAAGCACCGGCUAACUACGUG